UACGUAGGGCGCAAGCGUUGUCCGGAAUUAUUGGGCGUAAAGAGCUCGUAGGCGGCCAGUUGCGUCCGCUGUGAAAUCCCAGGGCUCAACCCUGGGCUUGCAGUGGAUACGGGCUGGCUGGAGGCAGGCAGGGGAGAACGGAAUUCCCGGUGUAGCGGUGAAAUGCGCAGAUAUCCGGAGGAACACCGGUGGCGAAGGCGGCUUUCUGGACCGACACUGACGCUGAGGCGCGAAAGCUAGGGGAGCAAACGGG
rnacentral:rRNA from 1 species